UGGCCGGAGAGGUCCAUUGGGAAAUCCAUCCGCUCAACGGAUGGGCGUCCAGUGGAAACCCUCCGGCUUGGGACCGGAAGACCAGAGGGGUACGUCCGGGGUAGGAGUGAAAUCCCGUAAUCCUGGACGGACCACCGGUGGCGAAAGCGCCUCUGGAGAACGGAUCCGACAGUGAGGGACGAAAGCUAGGGUCUCGAACCGGAUUAGAUACCCGGGUAGUCCUAGCCGUAAACGAUGCUCGCUAGGUGUGGCGCAGGCUACGAGCCUGCGCUGUGCCGCAGGGAAGCCGCGAAGCGAGCCGCCUGGGAA
rnacentral:rRNA from 1 species